rnacentral:lncRNA from 1 species
CCUGCCUCCGUCCGUCCCCGCGCGGCGCCCAGGCGAACCCGGCGCGGCAUUUUGGGUCGGUGCCGCGCUCCGAGGCUCCUUCCAGCCCGGCGGGGAAGAAAGGCGCCGGGGGCGUCCCGGGAUGAGGCGCUUCCCUUCCUAGCCGGCCAGCCAGCCGGAGGAUCCGAGCAGGGGAGCGGAUCGGGGGAUGGCGCCGCCUGGCACGAAGCCUCCUUGCAGCCGAGCCGGAGCCCCGUCUUGAGCGAGCGGCUUCCCUUUGUUGGGAGAAAGGUUCACACCAUGACUCUCUGGCCGCAAGCUUUCCACCAACAGAAGGUGCUUCUUGAAGCAGUGGAGGAAUCCUGAACUUCAGUACAUGGAUGCCACUUAAUUUUGCU